AACGAACGCUGGCGGCAUGCCUAACACAUGCAAGUCGAACGAGACCUUCGGGUCUAGUGGCGCACGGGUGCGUAACGCGUGGGAACCUGCCCUUAGGUUCGGAAUAACUCCCCGAAAGGGGGGCUAAUACCGGAUAAUGUCUGCGGACCAAAGAUUUAUCGCCUGUGGAUGGGCCCGCGUUGGUUUAGCUAGUUGGUAGGGUAAAAGCCUACCAAGGCGACGAUCCAUAGCUGGUCUGAGAGGAUGAUCAGCCACACUGGGACUGAGACACGGCCCAGACUCCUACGGGAGGCAGCAGUGGGGAAUAUUGGACAAUGGGCGAAAGCCUGAUCCAGCACUGCCGCGUGAGUGCUGAAGGCCUUAGGGUUGUAAAGCUCUUUUACCCGGGAUGAUAAUGACAGUACCGGGAGAAUAAGCUCCGGCUAACUCCGUG
rnacentral:rRNA from 1 species